rnacentral:rRNA from 1 species
GACGAACGCUGGCGGCGUGCUUAACACAUGCAAGUCGAACGGAAAGGCCUGCUUUCCCUUGUGGAUUGCGGGUACUCGAGUGGCGAACGGGUGAGUAACACGUGAGUGAUCUGCCCCCAACUUGGGUAUAAGCCUGGGAAACUGGGUCUAAUUCCCGAUAGGACUGCAGGGUGGUGCCUGUGGUGGAAAACGAUUUUCUAGUGGUUGGGGAUGAGCUCGCGGCCUAUCAGCUUGUUGGUGGGGUAAUGGCCUACCAAGGCGGCGACGGGUAGCCGGCCUGGGAGGGUGGACGGCAACAGUGGGACUGAGAUACGGCCCAGACUCCUACGGGAGGCAGCAGUGGGGAAUAUGGCGCAAUGGGCGGAAGCCUGAGGCAGCGACGCCGCGUGGGGGAUGACGGCCUUCGGGUUGUAAACUCCUUUCGACCGCGAGGAAGCCACCUGGUUGGAAGGGUGGUGACGGUAGUGGUAGAAGAAGCACCGGCUAACUACGUG